UCCCCAAUAGUCUAGCUGGUUAGGAUACAAGGUUUUCACCCUUGAGACCCGGGUUCAAGUCCCGGUUGGGGAA
rfam:Ichthyophthirius multifiliis unplaced genomic scaffold scaff_1120509250893, whole genome shotgun sequence.